UUGAUUACGUCCCUGCCCUUUGUACACACCGCCCGUCGCUACCCGGGACUGAGUUGUUUCGAGAAAUCUACGGACCUGUUUGCUUGCAAGCGGGAAAGUAAAUUAAUCGCAAUGGCUUGAACCGGGUAAAAGUCGUAACAAGGUAUCAGUAGGUGAACCUGCUGAUGGAUCACUA
rnacentral:rRNA from 1 species